GAUGAACGCUAGCGGGAGGCUUAAUACAUGCAAGUCGAGGGGUAACAGGGGCUUCGGCCCGCUGACGACCGGCGCACGGGUGAGUAACGCGUACGCAACUUACCUCCAAGCGAGGGAUAGCCCUGGGAAACUGGGAUUAAUACCUCAUGUGAUUAUGAUGCCGCAUGGUGUUAUAAUUAAAGUUCAGGCGCUUGGAGAUGGGCGUGCGUCCUAUUAGCUAGUUGGUGAGGUAACGGCUCACCAAGGCGACGAUAGGUAGGGGGCGUGAGAGCGUGGCCCCCCACACGGGUACUGAGACACGGACCCGACUCCUACGGGUGGCUGCAGUCGAGAAUCUUCCGCAAUGGGCGAAAGCCUGACGGAGCGACGCCGCGUGGUGGAUGAAGGCCCUUGGGUUGUAAACACCUGUCAGAGGGGAUGAAAUCAUGUUAGGUUAUCCUUUCAUGUUGACAGAGCCUCAGAGGAAGCACGGGCUAAGUACGUGCCAGCAGCCGUACGG
rnacentral:rRNA from 1 species